rnacentral:misc_RNA from 1 species
UACGGAGGGUGCAAGCGUUAAUCGGAAUUACUGGGCGUAAAGCGCGCGUAGGUGGCUUGAUAAGCCGGUUGUGAAAGCCCCGGGCUCAACCUGGGAACGGCAUCCGGAACUGUCAAGCUAGAGUACAGGAGAGGAAGGUAGAAUUCCCGGUGUAGCGGUGAAAUGCGUAGAGAUCGGGAGGAAUACCAGUGGCGAAGGCGGCCUUCUGGACUGAUACUGACACUGAGGUGCGAAAGCGUGGGUAGCAAACAGG